rnacentral:rRNA from 1 species
GAUGAACGCUGGCGGCAUGCCUAAUACAUGCAAGUCGAACGAGAGGAAGGAAAGCUCGCUUUCCUGAAUCUAGUGGCGAACGGGUGAGUAACACGUAGGUAACCUGCCCAUGUGCCCGGGAUAACUUCUGGAAACGGAUGCUAAAACCGGAUAGGUAGCAGACAAGCAUUUGACUGCUAUUAAAGUGGCUAAGGCCAUGAACAUGGAUGGACCUGCGGUGCAUUAGCUAGUUGGUGAGGUAACGGCCCACCAAGGCGACGAUGCAUAGCCGGCCUGAGAGGGCGGACGGCCACAUUGGGACUGAGACACGGCCCAAACUCCUACGGGAGGCAGCAGUAGGGAAUUUUCGUCAAUGGGGGGAACCCUGAACGAGCAAUGCCGCGUGAGUGAGGAAGGUCUUCGGAUCGUAAAGCUCUGUUGUAAGAGAAAAACGGCACUCAUAGGGAAUGAUGAGUGAGUGAUGGUAUCUUACCAGAAAGUCACGGCUAACUACGUGCCAGCAGCCGCAGUAACAC